ensembl:lncRNA
UUUUUAAUUGACCCCAUAUAUUUCCUCAGAAUAUUUAUAUAAUAUUUUUAUGUUUGUCUAGGUGUAAGUUCUCCCUCUAGUGUCAGUCAACAGCAGAACAGCAGUCAGACAUCAGAGCAGAACCAGAGUGACACAGGAAACAACACACUGAUGUCUGACAGUGUAAGUGAAUCUGCUGAACUCACCUAUGCUGCAAUUGAACUGAACUCUACUAGGAAACAGAAGAAAAAGAAAGAAGACAAAGCUGCUGGAUCUAAUGAUGUGACGUAUGCUCAGAUUAAAUAAACACCCAGAGGAGAAGCUUUCAAUCCCAGGAUGCUGAUGAGUUUAGGUUGAGAAGAGAAUGACCAGGAUCAUCGAUUCUUUAUCAUCUUUGUGAUACUGAGCAUCUGAUGGCAAUAGAUUUAUCAGUGGUUGAUAUUAGUGAUGCAAGUCUUCAUGGUCUUCAGAGACUAUGCUAAUCUUUGAAAAGCAAUGAGCUGAUUAUACAUUGAGAGAGAGAAAGAAAGAAAGAAAGAAAGAAAGAAAGAGAGAAAGAAAGAAAGAAAGAAAGAAAGAAAGAAAGAAUUAUCAUUUAAUACUGCACAGUGUGUAUUUUUAUUGAUCUCCAAAAACAGUCCAUAAAAAUAGGAUCCAAUGUACUGUUAAUAUGAAGAAAUUUUCUUAUUGUUUUUACAUAGUUUUUUUCCCCUGCAUUUAGCCAAAUAGUAUCCAGCUGCAGACCCGCAGCACCAUCAAUUUUUCACACCCAAAGCCACAGAACCGGAAGUGAGGGACGGAGCUUAUGAUCUUAGUAAAGUAGUGCCACCUUACGGUUUUUAAGGGGUAAUUUGCUUUUAUUACACAUGAUAUGUCAUACUUUAUGUAUGUAUGUAUUUUAUAAUGAUAUAUUAAGCAUUUUAUAAACAUCAAUCUUGUGUAAUUUAGUUGUAGGCCUAUACAGUUAUUUGUUUUAUUGUAGUAUGCAAGUUAUUUCCUGUUUGUGAUAUUAAAAAUAAUGUUUGAAACUUCUGGGCAUUUUAUAUGAAAUAUACUUUAAUCACAAGAUUCAAAAUAAAUGUUUACUCUAAAGUCA